UUUCUGAUCACUUCUGUCUCUUGAGCGUGAGAAUGAAGGAUUCUGGCAGAAGGAUAAAGUAAUAAAAUGGCUUCUGGUAAAGCCUUUUGCCUGCCUGAAAAAGGCCUAAUACUCAAGGAAGAGAAACAGGUUCCUGAAAUGACCCUCGGAAGCUCUCCCAAAUGUGUUACCAUCCAUUUUCAGAUCUACUAGCAGAAAGUUGGCCACUGAACCCAACCCAUGGUGUCUAAUCCUUACCUCCCCAGUGAGGUAAGGGGUCCCAAGAGCAAAUCAGACAGCUAGGUAGCUAGAUGAUUACCAGGCUGAACCGUACUGACACCAGGUAACAAAGAACAAGAAGACUGCUUUGAGAUGACUGAUUUGACUGUUCCCAGUAUUAUAGAAGAUCUCAAGAGUACUCCUGAAACAGCUGUUUGACCGUUUCAAGCACCACAGGACUGUGUGCAUGUUUCUAAUUUUCUUUUAACCACUUCUAAUCAAAUGUUCUUAAUCAUAAAAAAUAUGAUAGAUCAGACAAAAUGCAAUCUAACACCAGAGUGCAUGGGCCCUUUGAUUUAAAGAAAAUACUCUUGCAGAUAAUAGUCUCAAGUGCAAUUUUGCAAAUUUGGUGAGCUCUUGAAGUUUAAGAUACAAAUAAUGCACUGACAGAAAAUGGAUGCCCAUAACAGGUAAAGAAGGUGGGAUGGCCACGAGGAAGACAGGAAUCUUUUAUUUUAAAGGCUACAAAUGUCUAAAAGAAAGAUGAAAGAUAAGGUUUUUCAUGUUUCAUACUGCCUCAGCUUUCUGAUCUCUUGAAUUCUGUAUGAGUCUUACUGUUUACUCGGUGUAAACAUUGUGCUCAGAGAUACUAAGUGCUUGAGGAUCACAGAUUUGUUUCUGUGCAAUGCAAAGCAAAAUACUCAUGAUUUUUA